UGGGCAGUAUCUGAAAAGAGCUGUACCUGUUAGAAACAAAAAUUUGAUCAAUUUCUGCCUUGAUCCUAAGGGACUUGGACAGAGGG
rfam:Bacillus pumilus SAFR-032, complete genome.